UACAGAGGUCCCAAGCGUUGUUCGGAUUCACUGGGCGUAAAGCGCGUGUAGGCGGCUUUGCAAGUCGGGUGUGAAAGCCCUCAGCUCAACUGAGGAAGUGCGCCCGAAACUGCAGAGCUUGAGUGCCGGAGAGGGUGGCGGAAUUCCCCAAGUAGAGGUGAAAUUCGUAGAUAUGGGGGAGGAACACCGGUGGCGAAGGCGGCCACCUGGACGGUAACUGACGCUGAGACGCGAAAGCGUGGGGAGCAAACAGG
rnacentral:rRNA from 1 species